rnacentral:rRNA from 1 species
AUACGUAGGUGACAAGCGUUAUCCGGAUUUACUGGGCGUAAAGGGCGUGUAGGCGGUCUUGCAAGUCAGAAGUGAAAUUCCUGAGCUCAACUCGGGCGCUGCUUCUGAAACUGCAGGACUUGAGUGCUGGAGGGGAUAGCGGAAUUCCUAGUGGAGCGGUAAAAUGCGCAGAUAUUAGGAGGAACACCAGUGGCGAAGGCGGGUAACUGGACUGUAACUGACGCUGAGGCGCGAAAGUGUGGGGAGCAAACAGGAUUAGAUACCCUGGUAGUCCACACUGUAAACGAUGAAUGCUAGGUGUAGGGGGUAUCGACCCCUUCUGUGCCGCAGUCAACACAAUAAGCAUUCCGCCUGGGGAGUACGGCCGCAAGGUUGAAACUCAAAUGAAUUGGCGGGG